GAAAGAAAGUAAGCAAGGGCGCAUGGCGGAUGCCUUGGCUCUCGGAGGCGAUGAAGGACGUGAUAAGCUGCGAUAAGCUUCGGGUAGGUGCAAAUAACCUUUGAUCCGAAGAUUUCCGAAUGGGGCAACCC
rnacentral:rRNA from 1 species